rnacentral:rRNA from 1 species
UACGUAGGGUGCAAGCGUUGUCCGGAAUUAUUGGGCGUAAAGGGCUCGUAGGCGGUCUGUCACGUCGGGAGUGAAAACUCGGGGCUUAACCCCGAGCCUGCUUCCGAUACGGGCAGACUAGAGGUAUGCAGGGGAGAAUGGAAUUCCUGGUGUAGCGGUGAAAUGCGCAGAUAUCAGGAGGAACACCGGUGGCGAAGGCGGUUCUCUAGUACGGUACUGACGCUGAGACGCGAAAGCGUGGGGAGCAAACAGG